UUACCUGUAGUUUAUAAAAUAUUGGCAUUGGAAGCCAAAGUUCUGGAUAUUUAUUGGUUCUAGUGGGUAAA
rnacentral:tRNA from 1 species